ACACACACACACACACACACACACACACACACACACACAGCUGGUGUCGUGGACUCACUGACGUUGUUGCAGCGUCUUAAACUGCAACACGGAUGUUUUACACAGACGACGGGUCUCUGUUGCCGUGGUUACACUUGUCUUUUAUCUGUAAAUGAAACUUUUGUGAUCAGAUACAUUUUGGUGUCAAAGUCGCAGACAAAUGAUCCUCAACCUUUCACAAUAAAAGUCCUGCUCUCACUGAUCCGGAUGGACGGUCAAUGCGUUAAAAAGAUCCGCCUCUUAAAACACUUGCUUUGUGUACAACGAAUUACUCAAAUCAAUGUGUCUGCAUGAACAAGGCACCAGACACCAGGCUGAACUUCACCACCGACGCCUUCAUGGAGGUCUGACUGAUGCUGUUAUUCCACGUGGAGUCACUCUUCUUCUGCAAAGCGUGAUGGAGAUGAAUGAUGACGUUUGGCCGUCUAAAUGCCUCCUUUUUAUUAUUAAAUAAAAGUGAUCGAAUGGGGAGAAACUUGAAUGUAAUAAAUAUAUUUUGAAAUUCUAUUUGCACUUGUCUCUGAAGAACACGAAGGUUUGUGAGUACAAACGUUUUGUAAUUAGUUUAAUCGAGUUUAAACACAGAAACCUACUCGUUAUUUAUCUGUUAUUAUGUGAUCUUAUUGGUCCGGCUGGCUUGAUAUCAAAGUUUGACACCUGGUUCACAGCAGAAUGAGGACGUACUUUAUUGUGAUCAUUUCUUUCAGGUACAAUAACGACGUUAUUAAGAGAUUUAAAGUUAAAAUCGUUCCUCUUUCUGUUUGAUCUGAUUUUUUGGGACCGUUGCUGCUGUCUGUGUUUUAUUUUGGCGGUGGAUUGAGAGGCUCCAUCACAUUUAACACUUUCAAUACUCAAGUUUCUUAGUAAUAAACUCCAGGCUGUUAUAAAAUACGUGCUUGUUGUUUGUGUGUUGUUGUUGCCACGGUGACACGGCCCAAAACACCACAAGGCGACUUCAGUAGGAUAUUUACUGCAGGAUGAAACCUUCAAGUUGCACCUGAAGCACCG
ensembl:lncRNA